rnacentral:rRNA from 1 species
CUAUGAGUUUGAUCCUGGCUCAAGAUGAACGCUAGUAGUAUGCUUUACACAUGCGAGUUGAACGAAAUUUUUUCGUAGCGGACGGGUGAGUAAUAUGCAAAAUUUUACCUUUUAGUUCAGGAUAAAAACUUAAUAAUACUGAAUAUUCGCAAAGACGGACGCUUAUGUCAGUUGCUAAAAGAUAAAUUUGUAUAAGAUUAGGUAGUUGGUUAUUUAAUAGCUAACCAAGCCAUCGAUCUUUAGUUGGUCUUAGAGGACGGCCAGCCACAUUGGAACUGAGAAAGGUCCAAGCCAACAUGUUUGGCCAGCAGUGAGGAAUAUUGGACAAUGAACGAAAGUUUGAUCCAGCAAUACUAUCUGAGUGAAGACGGCUGUUUUGGUUGUAAAGCUCUUUCAUUAGGUAUGAUAAUGACAUUACCUAAAGAAGUUUAAGUCCCGGCUAAUCUCGUGCCAGCAGCCGCGGUAAUACGGGAGGGGCAAGCGUUAUCUGAAAUGACUGGGCGUAAAGGGUCCGUAGACUGUAAAAUAAGUUAUUUGUUAAAUUUUAAAGCUUAACUUUAAACAAGCAUAUAAUACUGUUUUACUUGAGUUUUAUAAAGAAGAAUAGAAUUUUUUAUGGAGGGGUAACACCUGCAGAUAUAAAAAGGAAUAUCAUAAGUGAAGACGAUUCUUUAGUAUAAACUGACGUUGAGGGACGAAAGUAUAGGGAGCGAACAGGAUUAGAUACCCUGGUAGUCUAUACUGUAAACUAUGAGUGUUGUAAUUUAAUUAAUUUUUUAAUUGGAUUUUUAAGCUAACGCCAUAAACACUCCGCCAGAGAAGUACGAUCGCAAGGUUGAAACUCAAAGGAAU